CUAAAAAUUCCAUAUAUCCACAAAUUACCAUAGUAAAAACUACAGAACACUAGUUAAAACUAGAAGAUCACAACUUCAUUCACACUUCAACAUGACAAAAUUUCAGAACGGUAUGCAAACUAGAAGCCUAUAACUUCCACGGCGCCUAAAUUUCUAUAGAUUCUCAAAUUCAAAUAAUAACAUCACAACUAUAGUUAUAAAAAAUAAAAUAAAAAUAAAAACAAAAAUUACAACACAGUAAGUAGUCGAAAUUUGUAGUACCAAUUAAACUGAGAUGAGCAUUUCUAGAAGCAGCAGCCGCAGCAGCUGAAGUGCCUGCUACAGCCUUUCUCCGCUUAGCUCUACCACGAGAUUCUUCAAAAUUGUCGGACGAUUCUUCUCUCUCCUCCUCAUUCACAUUUUGCUCCUCGUUAACCCUAGUUUGAACUCUCGUUCGUUUCUGUACACGAUUAACUCCAUAAUUAGGGCUCAAUUUUUUACUUACUCAAAGAAUAUGCAUAAAUAUUGUAGAAACUGGGGAAAAAAACUCACCGUACUUCGAUUCGCCGUUCCCGACACCACUGGU
rnacentral:lncRNA from 1 species